CGGGCGGUUUCGCCGUUAUAUACGUACGUCGUGCGCGUAUCGUUUUUGUUGUUGUUGUUUGGUGUACACGCCGAAAAGCCGGUCGGCGCAUCGCCCGUAUAAUAUAUACAAUUAGACCGGGACCCGAAAAACCGCGCAGGGGCCGCGCUCCGUUCGACCCCUUUUCGCGCGUAAUUGUUUUCCGCUCGGGUGGGGAGGUGGCAGGGUUUUCACUCACUCUCUGCGCGCGCGUUCCGCGAUCCGUCCGGUGGAGGGGAGGGGGGAAACAAUAAUAAAAACCGUCGUCCGCGCUGCGUACACCAUCGUGUUGUGCCGGGGGGGGCGGCGGGCGCGGAUAAUGCGCGGCACACGCGCGCCGGGUUUUAAUACGCCAUUAGCGUUCGGCUCGGCGGCGCUACUAUUGGGGUGUCGCCGCGCCGCGUAUUUACCGUAUUGUUAUGAUAACGUGUUUUGUUUUUUUUUUUUUUCCCCGGCCGCCGCCCGGUCCCCAUACAUGCCCCCUAACGCCCCGCCGCGCCGCGUCGACGGGGCGGCGAAACGGACGCGCCGCGGAGAAAUUAACGUCAACACGAUAUUAUUAUUAUUCGCGAAAAGAGACCGCCCGCAGCCGCCCGUACUAACGGACCGUGUAACAGCAAUGACAACGCGCGCGCCGCAUUGUUGUCGCGCGCGAUAUUUCGGUGUGGCGUGUAACGAAUUUUCGCGGGCGCCGCCGCAUUAAUGACGGCGACAAAGCGUCCGGCCGAAACGGAAAGGAGGUGGGGGGUGGGUGGGAAAGCAAACGGCUUCGAUUCGCGUCCCCGCCGAGAACGCCGUGGUUCUCGCCCGCGAAUUAUUAGCCUCCCCUCCCCCGGAUUUCAAUGCGCGAAAUGCGUCUUUUUUUUUUUUUACUCUUAGAGAUUCAGUUUGACAACGCAAUUCCGCGUGCAUAAUUCGACGCGCGUUUGUUGUCUCGUAGACACUUCAAAGGUGAAACUUUCGGUUCGCCUUUCCCCCCCCCCCAUUUUUUGCGUUUUUAGAUUUAUUUUUUUUUCGCUUAAUCGCGAUAUACUAGUGUAGUCAUUUGAAUUUAGUCGAUUCAAAAUAUUAUCCGCGUGUUUCGGGUUUUCCAGUCAAUCGGCCUCUCUGCAGUCGAUACUGUCACCGCUGGUCACAAGUCAAAUUUUAAAUAUAGAAUAUUAUAAACUACUCUAUAAAAUAGCGAAUUAAACAGUUUUUUAGGGCAUUUUCGAGGUAAAAUAAGUGUUUAGCUUCAUUUUUUUUUUUUUUAGAGAGACAUUUUAGUGUAUUCAAAUCCGGACUUUAAUAAUUACGAGUACAUUACAAUUCAAUACCAUUGUAUUUUUAAAAAAAAAAAAAAACCCCGUAUUAUACUCUUCAAUUCGUGAAUCUAUUAGAAUUUUAGCUGCUUGUAUAAAAAAUGACAAAUUAACUUAUGGUUAGUAUUUAGUUUCGAUAAAAUAAUUUAAUAACUUAAGGAAAUCAUAUUUAAAUGUAAAGAACGGGACGGUGUCUAAAGAGUUCUCAAAUGUACCGUUAUUAAUAUUGUCUUAUAUCACUUUGUCCUGUUCUAAGCUAUUAAUUUAUUAUAUUUAAAUUAAUUUGUAUUCAUUAUUGGUGUGCGUAUUUGUUUGUCUUGUUAGAUAUGUAAUGCAACCCUCUGCCGCCCAUCGCAAGCGUCGCGCUUAAAGAAUAAGCGUAUAUUUUAUUGUAAACAUUUUGAUUUUAUGUAACAAUAUUUAUAAUUAAUGUUUUUACAAUAAAAAAGAAAAAAAAAAUGUCCGGGGAAAAAAAAAAAUACCCAACAAUAAUAUAAUGUUGUCUGUAUGUGUACAGGUAUACUUGUGACGUUGUGUAAAGCGAAACGAUUCGUUUGCGCUGUACGCUUGUGACGGAUAAGCUCGAAAACUACUCGGCCGAUUCGGAAACUUCUCCCGCCUAAUAAAAUGUUACACUGUCGGCGGGUAACGCGGCCCGUAUUCUGUUUUCAAAGCGAUUACGAGUUAUCUACGAAAAUUGCGAUAAUUAGGUUCUCGGCCGUUUUCGGUACGAAUGCAAUAUAAUUGUUUGUUCAUUUAGGUCUAUUCGCGGGUUGCCUAGGUGACGCGGACGACAAUUCGGUUUCCGCGGACAAGAGUGGUGCCGCUGUUAUAAAGCGAACCGCCGGCCGUAUUAAGUAUUGCCCGCGUUAUAACGUUAUUGUUUGAGAAGGAAAUGUACGCGGAACACGUGCGGGCUUCUCGUAUUUAAAGAACGGAUUUCUAUGCACUCGAUAUGUAUUUAAAACGGCAAAAGUGAAGUGACAGAGAGGAUUUAACGUACCCCUUCUAAACGAUUCUUGCCAUAUUAGAUACAAUUUUCAUUCUGCCGAAUGAUUAACACGGGAGUAUAUUUUUUUUUUUUUUUGUAUCGCGUACAAAUUUAUUUUAAAAAAUAUCACUGCGAUAAGCGUUUUUGUAGUGUACGGAAAUCUUUUUAAAUAUUCUGUUGAGUGAUUAGUUAUUUUAGCUUUUUUGACGUUUUUAAGCGCUUUUUCGUGGAUUUAAAACGCAUAUAAUUAUAUAAAUCCGUUCCCUACUGAUAAACUUAAUACGAAUAAUCGAUUGUCCACGCGACGCGCGCACACUAUCGAAAGGUUGGGUAAGGUGGCUAAGUAUAAUCGCACCAAUCGUAAUUUUUUUACGAUUUUGAACAUUUGAAAACCGAUAUUAAACAAAUCGCCUUUGUACGAUUUCGGGUUUACCUGUAGGCUGCAGCGGUGGUUUUCAACCGGGGGGGUCUCUUUUACUAUAAGUAUCAUAUGUAUACUGUACAUCGUAUUAUACAAGUUACGUUGAAUGAUUUUUGAAGGGGUCGUCAUAAAUGAAAAAAAAAAAUAAGGGUCGCGAUUCGUAAAAGGUUAAAAAAACCACUAUAGGUACCUCACAGAUGUAUACAAAUACUUGGAUAACCGACAUGGAAACAUGCAUGGUCUACGUUGUAUUAACCGGAUAAAAGUGUUGCAAAAUACAAACACCGCGUGUCAACAUAAAUAAUAAUUUUAAAAAAACGCCGUGACAAGUUUCGUUGUUAAAUAUUACUGAAAUAUUUUUCCGAGAGACUAAAAAGAGCCGACCUCCUUGUGGCGUCUCCAACAGAUAACGCUAGCAGGCUCUACAAAAAAAAAAAAAAAACAAACAAGAAAAAUAAAAAUAUAUCAAAGUAUUAAUGUUUUGUUUUUGUAUACGUAUGUCCAAAAGUUAUAUUAACUUGUACCCAAACGGUGCAUUUAUAUUUAACGUGUCGCGUUUAGGGACUGCGCACCUUCGAGAACCGCAAGUGUUGAUAACGAUAAAUCUGCGGACUGGCGGUAUUCGGGAUAAAUCAUUUGAUAUUGAAGUACAAUGUACAUAAACCACGAUGCACGUACAAUAUAGUUAGUUAUUUGUAUUACUUGCCCGGGUACGUGAUACGCAAAAACGCUUAUUAACGCUUAUCUACUUCAAACGCCCUCGAAUAAUGGUGUACAAAAAAAUUGUCAAUGUCUAUUUAAAACGCGCGUCAUCGAAGCUGCGAUGAGUAGAUGCAACUAUAUAAUGAGAUCGGUAAAAAAAAAUUUAUGUCCGACUCGAUAAGUCUAACCUAUGAACCGACUGGAAAAACGUACAAGCUACUUGCCUGCCUACUAACAACGAUAGUGAAAAGUAACUGCUGAUUUUUAUAAACUUUUUUUUUUUAUCGUGUAAUGUCGGUAUAGUAUAAAUCACCUCUAACAGCUGAUUUACUGGCUCUCACAUGAGAGAACUCUUAUUUCAGAAAUUUAACACAAGGUUCAAUAUGAGUUUUACAUUUAGUGGUCAAAAAAAGUUGAGCGUAAUGCAUUAGUAGUUUGUCUUUUUUUUUUUUUUUUAAAGCGUUUUAAAGUCAAAUUUUAAUAAAAAUCGUAAAAAUUACAUCAUUACAAAUUGUGUAUAAAACUGUAAACGAACUUCGCUCAGAAUAAUAUUUCAUUAGCAGUGCGUACAAAUGAAAUAACUCCACCUGCAAUGGACGGAACACCCGUCACCGAUUUUAGCUAUUUCUUUUUUUUUCCCUCCUCUGUUUCCGACUUUUGACGAACGUAAUAUUAUUGAUUUUUCUUUCUUUUUUUUUUUUUUUUCUAAAAAAUUGGCCAAGGACCAACUUUGACUGCCCUCCCCGGUAUAAAAACAGUACGCCUCUGGCGGCCGUAGAGCGGAAAAGGAUGUAGGUACACGCAGAAGCUAAGUCGAAGAUUCGACGACAGCGCUACCCGUUUUAUUUUAUCCGAAAUUAAAUCGCAUAGUGCCUACUCUCGUAUAAAUAUGUAUUGUUAUUUAAUUGUAUGGAAAGAACCAAAUAACAGAAAACAUUAUUUAUAUUAAUAUAGAUUGUAGAUUAAAUAGUAGUCUUGUAGACAGAGAUUAAAUAGACUACGUCAGCAAUGGGUCACGCGGAUUAGAUUACGACCAACCUAAAAGCGCUUUUCGCGUAGGGGUAGCCGCAUCUACCACGUCCGGUACGCGAGUGGUUUGAGGUGGCCCGCUGUCUCGGUUAGGUUUUGAGUACGGCUGUUCGUCCCGUGGUGAAGCAUCCCCCUACGCCCCCCCCCUCUCGUCCUUUUCUCCGGGUCUCGGAAAAAUCGAAGCCGGCGAUGGCCGGUGCGACGUCGGAUUUACACGGCGUGUUCCGCGACUCGAGUCUACAAAUAAAGUGUAAUGAUUACGCAGCGACUGUUUAUUGUGCGUCUAAGGUACAUUAUCACGGAGCGUGCAGUCUAAAAAAACAAUAUUUUUUCAUUUUUUUUUUUUAUUACGGCAUCUAUACGCGUACGAGAUAAAUAACGAUAUUUUUUUCGAGUUGUUUAAACGUCAGGGGGGGUUCGAACCCUCGUCACGUUGCAGUGUAGAUAUAGCCGAUAAAACGCCCCUACCUAUACACGUCAUGUACGAUAUUGUUAACGAAAAAUCGUCUCCCGCCGAAGAAUAGUACCCAUACCUACCUGCACCUAUACUACAGUAUUGUAGUAUAUUUAUGGGGUGAGAAAAUCCACGACGAAAGUACGUCACGCUCGAGGUCCCCAAAAAGGGACACACGGACCCUAAAGGUCAGGGCCCCAGCAGUGGUACACGGGGGCUAGGUGAAUUGGUUCCGCGACGGUAUGUCGGUACAGAGGAUAUUUUUUUUAUUAUUUUUUUUUUUUUUAUCGUUUGGUUGUAACUGCGACAUUUGUUUUUCGUACCUCUAUAUGUAUAGUAUUCCCAUCGUUUUAUGUACCGAUGGGGCGGCGGGUAAACAAUAUGUUUAUAAUAAUAUAGGGUAUACCGAAAAAACAGAUUGGGCGGUAAAAAAAAAAAAAAAAAACCCCGUUCAAUUCAAUUAUUGAAUGAGAGUCGAACCGAUUGCGUGCGUUGCGGUCGUAUAUAGGUAUUUUCGUGCAGAUGACGUUUCGUAAAAUUCAAUUGGAUUAUCGUACCCGCCGCACAGUUUAAACCGCAACGCCUAUAGAGUUGUUUCUUUUAUCUUUUUUUUUUUCUAUUAUACAGUUCGUUGUUUCGAAAUAUUUUUCAUGCGUUGAAAUACCGGUAUUACCGAUACCGUAUAAAUGUUUUACAAAAAAGAGGGUGAACGGCUGGCAUCGCGUCUAGAAGUUAUCGGAGGGUGAGGGUCGCAAAAUUGCAUCCUCGCCCCAAGGCUUCAUUCCGUGUGUAUUUUGGCAGCCACGUCUAAAGCGGUUAUAUUUCGACACUAAAGUAUAUAAAGACACGGGGUUUUAAUUCCAUCGCAAUUAUCUGCGAUUCCGGGAGGAUUUUUCGAUGAUACACUUACAACGUAUUUAUGGGGAAGAAGGGAAAAAAGUAUAAUUUUUCGUAUCGAAAAAACCGGUUUAAUAUGAAAUAAUAAUGUGUUUGGGAUAUUACAUACGUCUGCUAUUCGUGUUUACUAUUGUGUAGAAUCUAAGAACGUAGAUUUUAGAUUCUGAGCGAAGCGAGUAAUACUGCAGUGGCUCCAACGACGUACUAUAGGCGGGUUAAAUGAACCGCCUACACUUCGCGGUAGUAGGUGCCGGCCUCGGGUGACUUUACUACCGAAAAUCUUCCUCCGAUCAUCAAUUGUAGAGGUGAUUACCGGUAGCACUAAAAUGCUGAAUCAAUAUGAAUAUGCUGAGAGCAUAUUAUGCACUAUAAAAGCUUUAAAAAUGCUAAAAUGCAAUUGUAACUUGUAAGAGUCGCGAGUAAAAAUGAUUGGAGAUAUCAAACUUGAAAUUUGUUUGAAGAUUUUAGUGUCCUCAAUAUAAAAUAGUCUAUGUCUAAAAACAUUUACCAUACACUUAUAAAAAAAAAAAAAAAAAAAACAUAACCUAAUGUCCCCUACGGAGUCAAUACUCGAUAUUAAACUAGGUAAUAAUUUCUUCUUGGAAUGACCAAAAAAAAAACCGGCUGCCACAAGCUAUUCGAGUUCGUAGAGACUCGAAUACAUAACUUAAUGUCCAGGGAUAUGGCCAAUGUGCUAGGAAAAUCAAAACAGUUUACUUCUCUAAAGAACCAAAUAAAUCAAAUUUCCUCCUAGAAAAAGCGCUACACUUGAAAACCGGAACAAGAUUCCUGGUAGAAAUUUUGUACACAGUAGAAAAAAAUAAACACCAUUGUAAAACUAAUACGUUCCUCUCUUCGCUCAAAGUCGAAAAGGUCCUCUGUUUCGAGUAUAGAUUGUACUAUCGAUUGUAAAUGCAGCUAAAAUUAAUAAUUUUUUACGUAUACGCCAAUAACGAUUGUUGCCGAAAACCGAUCAUAAAUUAGCUGUAAGUGUAAUGGCUGGAUACUUUCAUUUUUUUACCGCAACUAUACACGGACUUUUACGGCAUUAAAAAUAUUAUUAUUGUGUUUUAAUAAUGCCUUUGUUCGUGAUAUACCCAUAAGUCGUGUGUAUAUGUAUAUAUACGAUAUACCAUACAUAUAUUUAUUUUUUUUUUUCAUCAACAGAUUAUCGUUUUAUUACACGUAUAUCGUUUUUUUCCCCGUAUGAAAUAUGACUUUUUUCAGAAUAAAUAUUUAAAAUGUUUUUUCUACAAUAUACAAGGCGAGCAAGAGACCCCGGCUGCACAGACCCUCGACAUGAAUGUGCUUACGGCCCAUUAGAGACGGGCGUAUUUACGAGGGAGAGUUUUUUUUUUUUUUUUUUUUCAUGCCGUUACUAUAGGAAUGACUUUUUUUUAUAUAAUAUUAUCGUGUUUACAUUAUCACGAGGUUUCUGAACGUGCAUCUAUAAACCAGCUGUAGUAUAAAAUAUAUUUACCGCGAGGUCGAAAGUGAAAACAAAUUUAGAAGGGGGCCUACGUCUGUCUGUCAGCCGAACUGCAGACCUUUAUUCUUCUUUUGGUUUACUUCUUGGUUCGCUAGCAUUUUUCUACUUUUGGAACGAUUCGGGGACGGGCACCUGAUAGGCGCCGUGCUAACUGUGAAUGACGCCCUAGGGCAAUCGUCGCGUUUAGUGCCUGAACUUGAUAUCCGUAAAAAUAGUAAGUACUAAUUUAGGUACCGCACCAUAAAUCGUAAUCAAGUUAUAUUUACAAAAUCCGUUCUGAAUUCUACUCGUGUUAUAUACAUAUAAACUACUGCACAAGACGAAUAUUAAAACCAGUGUUUUAUUUUAGUUUCCGAGUGGAGCAAAACAGCUUAUGGUUUUACAAAAGAUGUUUAUUUUUUUUUUUUUUUGUGGACAACUUUUCUACCAAAGAUCUUGCUCCGAUUUUCAUGUGUAACGCCUUUUCUGAAAGGAAAUCGGCGUGAGAUUUUUUUCAAGAGUUUUCUCAUCAAAUUUGAAAAACCGAAAAAAAAACAGAGAAAAAUGGGAAAAUGUACGAAUUAUAUUAGUAAAAUAUAGCGAUUUUUUUUUAUAACAUUUCUACCAGAAAUUUUCCUCCAAAUUAUAAUGAUAGCAAUUUUCCUAAAAGAAAAUUUCACUAGGUACUUUAAAGUGGUCGUUUUUCGAUUUUCUCAGGAGUUUUCUUAACGAAUGUGAAAAACGAAAAAAAAAAACGGGAAAAACGGGAUCCGUUGUAAUUUUGAAAUUGGAAUAAUUGGAAUUUUACCAUAAUAUGACAUAUAUAUUGUUGACAAAGCAGCAUUAUCAACUGAAUUCCGCUCAGAAUCGUGUUUCGUUAGCAAUGGCUUAUCGUUGAUUACAGAUGUACAUUAAAUUACUUAUAACAGUGGCUGCACCCGACUCCAUUAUCCUAGGACGUCAUUUUAUUUUUUAUUUUAUUUUGCAUGGCGAUUGAAGCCGUCCCGGCAAAUAAAGUAUUUGCCAGUCUUCUCUAUACUCACUGUUAUCUCCUUCCAGUCUUUGGUCUUCUCUAGAGAUGCCCGAAAAGUUCUCAACGAAAUUUCGGCCCACCUAGUAGAGCAUAAAAACUAAUAAUUCAAUUUUAAUAUAGCUAUACGCUAUAGUACGCAUAUAAACGCUAUAUCGUUUUCGGAUGCAUUCUUCGGCCUCCCCAAACUCCAUAAUCCUUGCCACACCACUACACUGAUUACGUGCAUUAUACACACGAGUAUAUACGUCGCGUAUGCUCGUCUUCUUUUAUAUACCCAUAUAAAUAUUUAAUUUCCGUCAUAUGGACCAACAAUCGUCGUAUUAUUAUAUUAUAACGACGAUGACAAAACAUUUUCUUUGCCCUCUCGGUACGGAAAAGAUUGUUCGCCGAGAUCACGGUGCUAUUGCUUCCGGCCAAAACUAAUCCCCUCGUUGCAGUCGCCCAUCACGAUGAGAAUAAUAACGAGCCGUUUACGCUGCAGUGAUCAAAUUUUGAGUAGAGGAACGUGACGAGAUGACUGAUUUUUGAAAAACUGUCUCGCCUAGAAGUAAGUUUUUCGUAUGUUACACGUGCCGCAUGAUAUUAGGGGUUACACUCCAGUGCCGACACGCAGUCGAGCUGAAUCCGGCCGCAGUCCUUUUUUUUUUUUGUCGUGUAUAUUAUGACUGGUGUUUAUUGAUAUGAAAUACCUGUGAAAGAAUGUGCCUUUUAGGUAAGUAUAGUAGUGACCGCUUAAUUCGUUUGUUUUUUGCAUAGUGAUUAAUGAUUAUAACUCUUAACUGCCCCGCGAAAAUAUUUUAUCUUUCGCACCGACGUAUAGUGGUUAGCGACCAUUACCGCUUUAAGUGGUUAGUUCUCAUACCAAAGUAUUGAUUUAUAAACAGCCGUACUUACCAAACUAUUUACGCAUUGUGCUAUUGCAUACGUUACCGAUUCAUAAGUUUAGCAUCGCCGUCUUUAAAUUAAAUAUGUAAUAUUUGUCUAUAAUCUCUAGUGGAUAUUUCCGUGUGCACUACGGCACACUUUGUGUACUACAAAAUCUCAAAUGUGCAUUUGCCAACUGCUUAUUUAUCAUAGACGAACUAUGUAAAGCAGUUGAAAAGAAAACAUUUAUUUUAUUAUUAUUAUUUACAGUGUAAUCAAUCCUUAGUAUCUAGUACACUCAUUAUCUUUAGUAAGAAAAUAUUUACUUUUUUGGAUUUUUUUUUUUUUUUUGAAAAACAUAAAACAAAUAGUUCUUAAAUGUACAUUACCGUUGUUUUGUUUUAUUUUUAUUUUCGGAGUUGAAACCAGAAUUGUUAUUCAAAUCACUAUUUUUGAUUUUUGAGUAACACCCAACAUUAAAAAUCGCAUAAAUAGAUGACGUUUUUGUCAAAAUAUAUUUUGGUGUUGACAUUUUUAAUUUCCGUCAACACCCUGUAUGUAGUAAACUCAAAUACAUGAAUGUAUGCGCUACGGAAAUAGCCACUGAUUUAUUUUCUAUUGAUAACAGUUAUUGUUACAUAACAACAAACAAUAAUAGUAAAGUUAAUAUUAUUUUACGGUGGUUAAUGGUAGUAAACCACUGUAAAAAAUAGCUGAUAUUGAGGACAGGUGCAGACGCUGUUGUAGGUGGAAAGUUGGAAAGGUAGAAUACAUAAGAUUACUUCAUUUAUAUCAAUAAGCUACAAUAAACUAUUGCUGGUCGAAGACGAUUCCGAGCGCAGUUCGAUAGUAUAUUAUUUGACGUGCCGUAAUUUUUUUUUGCAAUUUUCGUUUAAAUUUGAUUUCAAAACGCUUAUUAAAAAUAAAAAGUCGUCCGUUGAUUUUGGAAAUUUUACCACGUCUAGGUAAGUCCAAUAUAAGUAUUAUUACCAAGCUUCAAGUCUCUACGUGUAUUUAAAAAACUCCCAAAAAUUAAAUUUCCUUAAAAGCUCAAAAGUAGCUUAAUAGUUUUGACGAUGACACCUUAAGAAAUUAAAUCAAAAAGGCAACAAAAAUGUACCUUGCGAUUUUUCGAUUAAAUCAUUUUUUCUGGUAGAAAACAUCGUUCGUAUUUUUAUAAAAUAAUGAAAUCGUGAAAUUGUACGUUUUCCUACGUUUUUACGUAUGCUUUUAUUUAAAAAAUAGCGUCGAAUAUCAAAAAAUGACAUUGAAAUUAACAUAUAGACAACGAGCUUUCAGAAAAGUUGCUACACAUAAAAAUUGGAUCAAGUUUACUAAGAAAAAACGUGUCCAAAAUCUAGAACAAAGAAAAAAACAUCUUAUUUAUUAAUAAAUAAGAUACGCUACGCUCGGAAUCUAAAAUAUAAAUAUCAUUAAUAAGGACUGACGAGUAUUGGAAAAUUAUUUUUUUUUUUUUCAAACCAAAAAAUGUUCUUCGAACCGUUUUUAUUAACGUGUCACGAAGAAGAUUUUACUUUAGGUUCUGAAUCCGAUUUCAGAUAGUGGAUUAUUGAUAAUUCUAGUUUAUUAUUUUCAUUUUAGAGUUGUUAUUUACAAUGUUACAAUAUACUGAAAAUGCUAUGUUUUUGAUAUAAGUAAGUUUCUAUUCAAACAAAUUUGUCACUAAUACAAAUUUAUACUAUAUUUUACUUAUAAAAGUAAAAUUGUUGAAAAUUAUUUUGUACACAAAAUUUAGUAUUAUUUAAAAAAAAAAAAAUGGUUUGUACAAUAAUUUUAUACUUUAUGUUAUAGUCAUAUAAUAAUAGGUAUAAAGUUGUUUUAAAAAUAACAGACCAUACUUCGCAUGGUGGGUGGGUCACUGUAUAUGAGAAGUUAAAAAGGUAAAGAGAAAACUUGUGUACAUUAUAAAAAAAUUACUUUGUAUCAAUCGCCUUGAAGACGAUUUAGUUCAAUAAGUUAAUGCUCUUAAAGUGGGGAUUUUCGAACAUUUCUAUCAUUUUUGCUUUUUGAAAAUAUUUUAACCGUUCUUUUACGUUUUUAAGCGCUUUUUAACUGAUUUUAAGAAAAUAUAAUUUCGGACUUUGGUCAUAAUUAUUAUGUAGUAAUUAUUUAGCAAUUAUGUUAUCGUACCAUUUAGCAUUUCUCAACAUUUAAUUUGCUUGUAUUGACAACUAUAUACAAUAUUGACUUAAUCCCAGGACCAAAGACACAUAGGUGAAUAUCAUAUAUAUAUAAUACUUACAACUCUUUUCUCUUUGAAUUUUUAAAUAAUGCAAUUCGUGAUUCGUUUAUAUUAAGUGUGAUAAACUACAAAGUAUCUACACAUAAUACUCGAAAUAACCAUUUAUUUUAUAUUCAUCCGCCUUCCCAAAACUACAUGUUAAAUCACCCAAUCAAUAUUUUAAUGUCUCGUGGCAACAAUCUCGAUGAUCAUAAUCUAAUUUAAGUAAAUUAUAUUCCCAUCAUUUGUAUUAACUUGUAUUAUUCAUUGUUUACCGUCUAUGUAUUAUGAUAUAUUAUUUAUGUAUUAGAUAUGAUUACUGUAAAUAUUAGUCUGGUUGUUCGUAUGUAUGGUUAUCCAUUGAUUAAGCUCAUUAACGUUAAAAUUUUCGUUCUAUUCAUAAUUAUUAUCAGUCAUCACUGUUAUGUUUGUAUUUGAAAUUGGACAAAUUGUCCGUAAAUAAAUAAUAUAUACGUCUAAAAAACUUGCGGUUAUUCGAAUUCUUGUCGUGUCUAACUUUUUCGAAUUUCCUCUCGGCCCGUUCUUAUAUACUCUGCACACGCCAUGCCGUAUUACAAUACGCUGUAGUUUUAAGGGGUGGCGCGUGCGGCCCGAUAAGCCGCGUUUAAAACGCACAACUGCGCACGAUUAUAUAUGAGAGAGAGAGAGAGAGAGAGAGAGGUACUUUUGUGGCUUUUAACCCGCGAUCGCUCUCGACGCAAAUAAUAAUUAUAUUGUAAAACGGAUUUUAAACACUCGACGGUUGUUGUUGUUGUUGUUGUUGUUGUUAUUAUUGUAUUGCAUGUAGGUGAGUACCGCCGUUAUCGUGAUUUACGAUAUUUUGUACGCACAUUGUCGGCCGCGGGUAGCGAAUUCGUAAUAAUUAAUAUUAUUUAGCGACCCCGAAAACUACCGAAUGUACGAUGGGGAAAAAAAUAAUGAAUUUACCGCCGAAAAAUAUGUAUUCAUAUACACGUAAUAGCGUGAUUAAAAUUUUUUAUUUUGGGGGGAAAUAGUAAUUUCGGAAAAAAAAAAAUAAAAAUGUCGUGAACAGAUGUCUGGGGCAAUGUAAAUAAUUGUACGUUGUAAGCACACGAGUAAACAAUAUUGCGAACAAAUGUCGGUAGCGUUUCGAUAUGAACUGUGCAACUACCGCUUACAUUAUUUAAGUAAAUACUAUAAGGAAAAUUCGUAAAAAAAUCUUCGGUACAUUUCGGAAGGGUCACAAUCUUCAAACCCUGGUUGCACCACUGCGUAUAGACACUGUACGGUAUAAUACAUACGGGAUUCCUCCGUAGAAAGAAAUCAUAAACACGUUUUAUUGAUUUGCGAUAUUUUCUAAAUUUCAGAUUAUUUCGACGAGAUGCGCUUUAAAUUAAUACAGUUGUGAAUCGAACAGUUUUUAAACGGUAUUUAUUUGAAGAGAUAUUGCGUAUGAUAUUUACAUUCAACAAAAUUGAAUUAUCGCGGCCUUUAAUCGAAAUAAGUUUGAAAAUGAAAUUCCUUUGAUAAAUUCAAAAUAAAAAGAUUUAGAUAGAAAACAAAAGCGUGGGACAUACUUCGCGGCCAAUGUUGUAGGUGGAGAGCUUGAAUGGUAUGUAUAGGAUAUAAACUUUGCAUUGUAAAGCAAUUUAGUUUAUAUACCUACCGGAAGUAACGAUACAUCAUUGCAAUCGUCAAACGAUUCUGGGUAGAGCUCGAUAUAAUUUGCAGGUAAGGUUAUGAUACAAGUCGCGAUUUUUCCCUCGCAGUUAACGUAAUCCAGAAAUUAACAAAGAGAAAAAAAAAACAUAAUUUAUCGUCAUUUGAAUCAAUUCGAAAAUCUGUUAAGGAUUUGUUGUAUAGAUGUACAAAACGCUUCGAACAAAAUCAACCUAACCACCGGGCGCGAAAAAUCCUCAACUUUUAAAGUUCGUCGCGAAGGACGCGGAGCCUUGGAAAAAGUGUACUUGAUCCGGAGGAAAAACACGUCUUUGUAAAAUUAAUAGCUUUUUCUUUAAAAAAAGAUCUUUUAAUUUUUAGACGUUUUCUUUUAUGGUUAUUUAUAUUUUAAUUCGCGUAAUAUUAUAUUAUAAUUCGUUAUAAUAACGUUGUUUAACUGCAGUUAUUAAAAGUAAACGAAAAAAUAAGAAAAGAAAAACAUGCUUCUGCAAUUACACGCGCUAUCUACUUCGUUAAAAUAGUAUUAACUGUAUAAUAUGCGUAUGAAACUGCAGUUGAGAAGUUAUACGGAUUCAGCCACCCGAAGGUGGAAAACUUAAAAUCGUUCCCUUAAUGAACACAUUCGUUUUCUCGAACAGUUUUAGCGUAUUUGGAAAUAAUUUGUUUGCGCUUUUUAUUUUAUUUCAUUUGAUUUUAACUGGUAAUUAAAUAUAAUGCCGCGUGAAAAAUUAUAAUUUAAUUUCGUUAUUUUCAAUGGUUAUAAUUAUAAUGGUUUAAUAAAAAGUUCUAAAGGAGACGAUAACGCAAACGAUGAUGUAUAUAAAUAUUGAAAUAUCUAUGUAUCAAAAUAUAAUAUUUUAUUGAACCUAGCGAUUGUUUUUUUUUUUUUUUUUUUUAUUAUUAUUGUAUUUAUUUCUAUAUGUACCAGGUGGUUCAUUUAAGUGGGUACACACAUUAUCUCGGAAAGUAUUAACUUUUCCCGGAAUUCGUUUUCUAGAACAUUUAAGAAACAAGCUGCUCCACAAUUUUAUAUUUGUUUUAUUAUUCGGGUUAAAACAACUAGCUACUUUUGAUUUUCAGACGGCAACCUAUAUUAAAAAGUCCAUAAAUAAAUUGAGUAUUAGUUAACAUAAAUUUCAUUGUUGACAUUUUUUUUAUUUCUGUCAAGCCGUUAACGAGGUAUACCACUUUUAAUUCUAGGUCGGAGGAGAAUAGUGGUGCAUUAUUAACACGCCGUGCGCCGUACCGCCACACUAAUGAUACUCUACUACUCUCCUCCAACACAAACUUAAAAGUGGAAUAUCAACGGAUCGACGGAAAUAAAAAAUGUCGACACUAAAAUGUAUUUUAAUUAAUACUCAAUCAAUUUAUGGAAUUUUUAAUAAAGGAUGGCAUUUUAAAACCAAAAGUAGAUCCUGGUUUAACCCUAAUUGUUUAAAAUAGAUAUGAUACUUGUGUGUUUGAAAAUCUGAACCAUAAUACUCAAAUGUAUUAAUUCUACUAACUUAUGAUAAUAUCGUUGAAUGCGCUUAGUUUAUACAAAUAAAUUACCCAAGAUAACAUAUUAAAAUAAAAACCUGCUAUCGGGAUUAUAUUUUCUUUCUAACAAUGGAAUACCGUCUCUUCACGAAACUCCACUAUAUUCCCCUAAACAAAAGGUACCCUUUUGACCUUUAUUCAAACAAAUUUUUAAAAUUUAACACACUUCAAAAUAUUUUGAAGUGUGUUUAAAAAAAUAUAUUUUGACCACAUAAACCGGGAUUUUGUCCUUUCCGACUGUUAUGGUAUGUGGAAAAUUCACAAUUUUCCUUUAAACUUUAUUCCGUACAUCUUAGUUUGCCAUUUUUUCUAUCCAUUCAGUCUUAGGAAUUUUUCAAUAACCCCAUGUUUCGAAAACCUCUAGUUUUAUUUUCUCUCCUGUAGUGAUUGUUAAAGUUUCCAGAGGAGGGUCUUUUUGAACGGGAGUUUUUUUGUUUUUUUUUUUUUACCUAUUGGUUCGGUCUUUAGGACCCACCCGAGUAUAAUAUUUUGCCACGGGCGUCAUUAAAAGUUCUAGGAAAUGCCACUGCUUCCCCUCUAACGGGUUUCGCCGCCGAUACGGACGCGUGGCGUUUACCGGCGGUAAUUCAGAACCACCGCUAUUGACAGCGAUACCGUUUUUCUAGGCGAACGUCGAUAGGUCUAACCUGGCCGUAUACGACAAUAAUAUCAUAUGUAUUACACGCGCAUUCAUAUCUCGCGUGUAUUACAAUACGCGAUGUAUACAGAUAUACACGCAACGUACAGUCCGCGGCGGGCGGCGGUAUGUACCGGCAGUACAUACGCGCACUCGAGUGACGGGUAUAGAGGACAAAUUGAAUUAUCCGCGGGAGAGGGAUUCUCGCGGGCGCGUGCACGGGGAGACGAUAAUAUUGCGCGCCGCGGACGUCCUUCCCCUAACCCCGCCACCCCUCCCCCAGACCCUGCCCGCCCCCCCCCCGUCCGCGCGGUUUUAAUAUUGCGCGGUCGGCGCAGCCGACGAACGGCGACGAGAAUAAUUCCGUGUAUAUUACUUAAUUAUUAUUAUCAGGCACCGUGCACGAUACCGGUGUACGCGUUCGUGUAUCGAAACGAAAUUAAACCGUCUACGCGCGAAACUUUCCGGCCGGGAGACCGUGCGUGUCGUCGUAUACGCAAUAGUAAUACAAUAUACAGCAGGGC